GCCCCCGCCAGGGGGAGCGCCCCGGGAGCCGCCGAGCCGCGGCCGCCGCCGCCCGCCCGCCCCCCGGGAGCCCGGGACUCCGGCGAGGUCGAGGUGUCAGGACAUCUGCACUCGGGCCGCCCACCCCUAGGGCUCCGCACGGCGGGGGCUCCGCACACUACACCCCGGUCCUCGGCCUCGCAGGGAGCCCGGCCGCCCCCCGGACACCAGCCCUGGAGAGAGGAAGAGAAGACAAGGGGACAGAAGAAGUGCUUCCCGCAGAGGGGACACUGCUGUCUGCUGGAUUUAAAAGUGCGGCCUCUUUGAAACAAAUACCGUGAUCUACCAGAUCCAAUACCACAUCAAUUAUAAGACGUACCCUUUUUAUCUCCACUAUAAAUGCAAAAGCACUGUCAAUUAACUGCAAGAAGCCACUGAUUAUAAGACAUCUGAGUUAUGGAGAUGUUGAAAACAAAAAGGCAUCUUAGAACCCAUGAACUACGAAACCUGAAUUUGUGAAGACAGUACUACAUUUAAAGACUCACUGGAACUCGCCUUAAAUAACGUCCAGCUAAAGCAACCAUGCGACACUGAAUGAAUCAUGACUUAGCUGCAGUUAUUUCACUUCUAAAAGAAAAGGAAUAAACUAGGUAUUAUCUUGUUCUCAAGCUUUAAUCUCUCUGAUUGGCAACUUCCCUAGAUUUGAUAUUGGUCAGGCCUGGAAGAACAGAACAUCAAUUUAGUUUUCUACUCGAGGAUGUGCGUCUUGAAUGGCUGGAGGAAAUGCAGAAAUUGUGGAAAUGUGGGAAUUAGUGAAAAUGCAAAAUGGAUCAGAGAGAAAUUUCACGAAUUUGCUUAGGUUCAACCCUAACAGAGCCGAGAGUCUAAACGCUGUACCCGAGGCUACAGAGCACUGAUUCCCAAACGCUGGCCUGGAUCAGAAUCACCCGGAGGAUACAGAUUCUGAACGCCCUCCCCAGGGUUUCUGACUCGGUAGCUCCUGGAUAAGGGCCGAUAAUUUGCAUUUCUAGCAAGUUCUCAGGUGAUGCUGAGGCUGCUGAUCCCUAGUCUGGGGACCACAUUUUGAGAACAUUACAUCAGCGCAGCCAGAGUUCUGGCUGCUGCAGAUUCCUUUUCUGAACAGAGCUACUGUGUCUAAGAACUCUAUAACUGAAGUGAUAAAAAGUCCCCUCUUUAAGGGCUGAGAAGAGAUUUUGAGUGAAAACAUUAUCCAUCAUGUACACACCACAUAGCUAUCCUCUGCUCGUGUAAGCUUACCGCUAACCUCUGGGUCAAAUAAUGAUGAGCAUCAGAUAAUUUCAAUAAGACAUUUCAAAUUUUAUCUUAAAUGACAUAAAAUGAGUCCAUAAAAAUACAGUGUCUUAAGUAGAUAAUUAUAGUGAGACUCCUUGUAAGGGCACUCAUAACCCUAUUAUAUCACAUCAAAAUAUAAUAUGAAUGUUUUGAAAUUCGGUAUCAAAAUAUCUGACACAUAGGUACAGUUACACAAUAUGUUUUAUUAAAAUGUAAGAAAACCAUUGUCAUAAUAUGGAAGAGUUAGGGGGGUAUAGAAAUAAACAUCAAGGCCAAGUUCAAGAUUUUGGGGAAAAGUAUUUUUAUUAAUUAAUUCAUUUAGAAAGGGAGAAUGCACACCCCAGCAGUAGGGAGGGAGGGAGACAGAGAGACAGAGAGACAGAGAGAUAGAGAGAUAAUACCCUAACUGGUCUCCAUGCUCACACAGAGCCUGACGUGAGGCAUGAUCUCACAACCCUGAGAUCUUGACCUGAACUGAGAUCAAGUUGAUUAACUCAACCAACUGAACCUCCUUGAUGUCCCCAAAAUUAACUCUCUUGAUUGACCGAUUGAUUUAGAGAGAAAGACAGAGCACGUGCACAAGUAGGGAGGGAAAGGGAGAAAGAAAAUCUUAAGCAGACUCCGCUCCUAGCGCACACCCUAUACCACGCUCCAUCUCACCACCCUGAGGUCAUGACCUGAGCUGAAAUCAACAGUUAGAGGCUUAACCGACUGAGCCACCCAGGCCCCCCAUGGGAAAAGCAUUUAAAUGGUCAGAUAAACAAGGUAAAAAAAUAGCUUUUGUGAUAGGAAAAUAGAGUGAAAAGAAUGAAAGAAAAUAAGAUAUUUUACAUGCUCAUUUAUUUUGCUGAAUGCUUUCAUCGUGUCCAUUAGUAACGGGAAAAAGAGUUGCAAUUUCAUUAAGCCAUUCUUUGCAGGAUUCAUUUUCUCUGAGCAGCUGUGAGAAAAAAAGAUCUUAGGUGAAGAAACCUAUUAAGUUUUCAAAUGAUUAGGAUUUGUUUUAUAGGUUUUAUUUUAAUGCAUUGUUCUGUCUCACAUUUAAAUUUUUUUUAGAUUUAUUUAUUAGACAGAGAGAGAGAAAGAGAGAGAGCACAUGAGUAGGGGGAAAGGCAGAGAGAAUCUCAAGCAGAAUUUGCGCUGAGCACAGAGCCUGCCAGGGAGCUCCAUCUCAUGACCCAUUAAAUUGUGACCUGAGCCCAAAUCACAGGGCAGUCACUUAACUCACUGAGCCACCCAGGAACCCCUUCAUGUUAAAUUUUAUAUACACACAUAAAAUAGUGUAUAAGUUAAGUUGAGGGUAGUGACCUACAAGAUAAUGGUAGAACAUGACAAACACAUUAUACAAGAAUUUAAAUCAGUGUGCAUUUUAUUUUAAUUAAUGUACUUUAUUGUUUUAGAGUAUUUUUAAGUUUACACAAAAUGGAGCAAAAAGUACAAAGAGUUCUUAUAAACCCUUUUCCUCGGCACACCGUUACCCUGUUGUUAAUAUCUUGCCUCGCAAUAUCUUGUUACAACUGAUGAACCAAUACUGAUCCAUUAUAAUGAGCAGAUGUCUAUAUUUAUAUUAAGGUUUACUCUGUGCUGCACAGUUUGCUGGCGUUGACAAAUGUGUCGUGUCAUGUGUCCACAAUCAUGAUAUCACCCAGAAUAGUUCCACUGCCCUAAACAUUCACUAUGCCCCACGAGCUCAACCCUCCUCCUUACCAUCAAGUCCCUGGAGACCUUUAUCUUUUCCUGGCCUCUAUGGUGUUGACUUUUCCAAAAUAUCACAUAAUUGAAAUCAUAAAGUAUACAGUCUUUUCAAAUUUUCACCUGUCAGUUAACAGGCAUUUUAAGUUCCCCGUGGGUCAAAAAAAAAAAAAGUUCCCCGUGGGUCUUUACGGCUCGUUUCAUCACUAAAUACUAUGCCCCUGUACUGAUACGCCCGUUUGUGUGUUCAUUUACCAACUAAAGAACAUCUCGGCUGCUUCCAAGUUUUGGCAAUUUUGAAUAAGGCUGCUAUAAACAUUUGUGUGCAGGUUUUUGUGGAUUUCAGUUAUUUUGGAUAAAUGUCUAGCCGCAUGAUUGCUGGAUCAUAUGGCAAGGCUAUGUUUAGCAUUGUAAGGAACCGCCAAAUUGUCUUUCAAAGUGAUAUUAACAUUCUGCAUUCCCACUUGCAAUGAAUGUGAUUCCCUGUUGCUCCACAUCCUCGCCAGCAUUUAUUGUUGCCAAUGUUUUAGAUUUUAGCCAUCCUGAUGGGUGUGUAGCGGUCUCGUUUUUCGAAUUAUCAGUUCCCUAAUUACAUGAUAUUAAGUGUGUUUUCAUAUGCUUAUCUACCAACUGCAUCUCUUCUUUGGAGACAUGUCCAGAUUUUGUUAUUAUUUGAACACCUUGUUCGAUACACAAACCAAAGGCAUAGGCGUCACAACACCCAGUUUCUGGUCUUGGAUUUGCCAUUUUCUUCUCACACGCUCUCAACGGAAACUCAGAUUCAGAGUGUUCUUGUGUCUAUUUCAUGGGAUUGUUCUAAAUAUCAAAUAAAGAUCGUUGCAAAACUGCUUAAAAUCCAAAUGAAAAGCUUUGCUUUUAAAGCUACUCUAUAAUAAUUACUCUACAGUGAAUUUCUGAAAUCCUCUUGCCAAAACGGAAAUAAAAUUUGCUGAGAUUAAGUUCCACUCGUGUAAUCAUCCCUCAUGUUUUAACAAGAAUUUUAAAAUUUGUAAUAUAUAUGUUCUAUGUAGAGAUAAUUGUAAUAAUUUCCAUAAAUUGCCGUGGAUUUAACUGUAUAGAAAAGAUAAAUAAUUAAUCUCUCUCAUUUUAUGGGAAGGUCAGUCAUCUCCUAGUAGAAUAUAUACCUAAUGAAAUUAUACUAUUUAACUGAUGUACCGAUGUGCUACUACUGGUAUUUGCUUUGCUAAUGAAAUUAAACUUUGUCCCUU
rnacentral:lncRNA from 1 species